rnacentral:rRNA from 1 species
UACGGAGGGUGCGAGCGUUGUCCGGAAUCAUUGGGCGUAAAGGGCUCGUAGGCGGUUUGUCGCGUCGGGAGUGAAAACCAGGUGCUUAACACCUGGCUUGCUUUCGAUACGGGCAGACUAGAGGUAUGCAGGGGAGAACGGAAUUCCUGGUGUAGCGGUGAAAUGCGCAGAUAUCAGGAGGAACACCGGUGGCGAAGGCGGUUCUCUGGGCAUGACCUGACGCUGAGGAGCGAAAGUGUGGGGAGCGAACAGG